rnacentral:rRNA from 1 species
GAUGAACGCAGGCGGCGUGCCUAAUACAUGCCAGUCGAGCGAACAGACGAGGAGCUUGCUCCUCUGACGUUAGCGGCGGACGGGUGAGUAACACGUGGAUAACCUACCUAUAAGACUGGGAUAACUUCGGGAAACCGGAGCUAAUACCGGAUAAUAUAUUGAACCGCAUGGUUCAAUAGUGAAAGACGGUUUUGCUGUCACUUAUAGAUGGAUCCGCGCCGCAUUAGCUAGUUGGUAAGGUAACGGCUUACCAAGGCGACGAUGCGUAGCCGACCUGAGAGGGUGAUCGGCCACACUGGAACUGAGACACGGUCCAGACUCCUACGGGAGGCAGCAGUAGGGAAUCUUCCGCAAUGGGCGAAAGCCUGACGGAGCAACGCCGCGUGAGUGAUGAAGGUCUUCGGAUCGUAAAACUCUGUUAUUAGGGAAGAACAAAUGUGUAAGUAACUAUGCACGUCUUGACGGUACCUAAUCAGAAAGCCACGGCUAACUACGUG